CGGCUCUUUUAUGUUUCCCUGACUUGGCCACUUUAACGCACGGGAGCAUAAACUCACAAAGUCGAAUUCUGGGAGUUGAAGUCCACACAUCUUAAAGUAGCCAUGUCUGAGAAGCACUGCUCCAAGUAUCUUAAUAUUCCUUUGGGCUUUUCAUCUUUUAACCAAUCUGUUUCUUCUCUUCCCCACCACCUACCCUGCUGCCCUGGAUGUUCAGAAUUGCUGGUUGAAACUGCUGAACCUACAGAACUUACUGAACUUUCUAUGGAGGCUAUAAGCACUGCUGUGAUAAGUGUGGAUGGCAACUUAUUUCUUGUGCAAACUACUGUAUAGAGAUGGAUCGCCCACACUGAGACACUAAGUUUGGGAAUUACAAGCAAGAUAAAUCCAGCACGAAACAAAGGCUUUUCAGAAUGUUCAUCUUCCUGCCUUCGUAUGUCACUUCCUGCUAUCCGCCAAACUCUCUGAGUGAUUUUGAAUCAUACAGUUAAAAAAGAAAAUAAAUCAACCCUUAAAAGGGACCAUAGGUAACACUCUCAAUAUGCCUUUCUCAAUUUCGUGCCCGCAAAAGCUUCAGAAACAUUCUUUGAAAGCAGCUGACUGAGAAACACGUGGACAAGAUUUGGAGAGGAAAGAUACAUUCUUCUUCAUCCUAAAGAUAUAUUUAUAAUUUAGAGUAUAGCUUAGUUGAUCUUGGCCAUUACAAUUCUUAAGCCUUAAUUGCGCUUUUUGUGACUGUGAGGAUAAAUUAUGGGGUGGGGGUGGGCUGCAAUCUUUUGUGCACCUUAGAAAGGCCAAGGUACUUAAAUGUAAUAUAUGUAUGUAACAGAUACAUACGUGCCAUCUGCACCCUGAAAAAAACAGCAGCGCAGUGGCAGUUCACAACUGUUUUUGUGGAAGGUUCCAGAAGUGGGAGGCCGCCACCAAGAAGACCCUACAGAAUGGAAACAGCUAUGAAGGCAGACCUGCUUUCCUGGAUGAGCAGCAGUUCCCAAACAAUUUAUCCCAGCUAACAUAUCUGUUUCUAUCAGAGGUUUUCCACCUUGGCAACUUUAAGAUAGGUGGACUUCAACUCCCAGCAUGCUGGCCCAGGAAUUCUGGGAGUUGAAGUCCAUGCAUCUUAAAAAGCUGCCAAGGUUAAAACAACAACAUUGGUUUCUACAAAGUGGCCUCCUGCUCCACCUCCUCCACCUAAUUUGUUCCAACUGAAUGUGGCCAGUUAUGCCCCAGAAUGGCCUUUCCCACUCGGGUGUUCUGCAGAUGUGGGAAUUGAAGACCCAAACAUCUGGCGGACAGCAGCUGGGGUAAAGUGGCCAGAGAGGGGCCUCCUGGCUCUCAUUUGACUGACCUGUUUAAAUCCUGCUUUGCCUUCCGGUUCUUUGAACCUGGGUACUGCUCUAAAUGCUUCUAAUUAUUUUUGUAUCUCAGAAAGAGAAUUAUUUUGGAUUGCCGAGUAAAAAAUAAAAUUAGAUUCUAUAUAGCGGC